UACAGAGGUCCCGAGCGUUGUUCGGAUUCACUGGGCGUAAAGGGUGCGUAGGUGGCAUGUUAAGUUUGAUGUGAAAGCUCAGGGCUUAACCCUGAAAUGGCAUUGAAUACUAGCGUGCUGGAGGGUUGGAGGGGGGACUGGAAUUCUCGGUGUAGCAGUGAAAUGCGUAGAUAUCGAGAGAAACACCAGUGGCGAAGGCGAGUCCCUGGACAACACCUGACACUGAGGCACGAAAGCCGGGGGAGCAAACAGG
rnacentral:rRNA from 1 species